rnacentral:rRNA from 1 species
GAUUAACGCUAGCGGCAGGCCUAAUACAUGCAAGUCGAACGGGAUUUCGGGUAGCAAUAUCUGAAUGAGAGUGGCGUACGGGUGCGUAACACGUAUGCAAUCUACCUCUGACUGGGAAUAGCCUUCCGAAGGAAGAUUAAUACCGCAUAAAUAAAUGAAGUGGCAUCACUUAUUAUCAAACUACUGGUGGUCAGAGAUGAGCAUGCGUCCGAUUAGCUAGUU